rnacentral:lncRNA from 1 species
AGUUAUAAAAAAAGAAAAAUGAGAAAAGAAAAUAUCGAUAAAAUGGGAGAUUAUCUAAUUGUGAAGGAGAGGGGUGAUAAUAAACUUGCUAAAGCUAUUGUCACCGCAGCAGAGGUACAAACAAGAAGUUAUCAUGAUGAUAAAUAUUUUGUUGAUAAAUGUAUAGAGGUGUUUUAUGCAUUGUCUGAUUUAUGGACUGUGGACGAGGUAUUUAAAGCUUCAAGAGUGUUCCAAAGAAAAAAAAAAAGAAUCGUGAGGCUUGGCUUUCAUUGAAGGAUGAACAUAGGGCUUAUUGGAUAAAAAAGGCACGGGAAGAAGGAAUUUAGAGUUAAACCUUACGGAUGUUGCUUAGUUUCUUUACUAUA